rnacentral:rRNA from 1 species
AUCUAUGGCGAUAUCAGUCUGAAAGUGCCUGAUCUUGUCAGAUCUUAGAAGCCAUCCAGACUCGGGCCUGGUUAGCACUUGUAUGGGAGACCUACUAGGAACCUCAGGUGCUGUAACGG